CUUCCAUUGAUCUUGAGAACACAAGAAGUCAUUGUGCAUCAGAAUAAAACAAAACUGGCUUGUGAGCCCUCGGGACGCUCUUCAUGGCUCCAGUGAGUGUCUGGCCCAGGAGAAGCUGUCCCCAAACCUCGGACCGUGUAUAUGAAGGAUAACUGUGCCCUGGCGUCACGAUGUGAUCAGCAGCGGAGAUCUCUUCAUUCACAACCCCAGACCGACCUCCACAAGAUGGACCUUCUCUAGCAUCAUGGUGAAGGCCGAGCUCCAGACCAGGGGCUUUCCCAGAAGACUCAGCCCAGCUUCCUUCACUUCCUCCUGGAUCUGAGGCCACGCCCCCUCCCUAGGGAGAGCUCAGCAGCACACAACCUCUUCCCUCCAGCUCUAUCUGGAUACUGCUAUCUCUAUGGGAUCAGGAUAUAUAUGUCUGGCCCAGGAGAAGUUGUCUCCAACCUCAGACCAUGUAUAGGCUAAUGGUGCCCUGGCGUCACGAAGUGAUAAGGUAUUUCCUUACACCACACGUGGCACCACAUCUCACUUUCCCUCUGAUCUGGGUGUUUUAUCCAAACAGUGUAAUUGGGAGGGUGGGGGUCAUUAUGGAGACCCAUUUUGUAGUAUAGUAAGUAUUGAAAUAUUUUUCUUACUUUCAGAUCGUAACCAAGCAAUGAAAAUGGACAUACACGACCCCCAAAAUACCCAUGAUGUCACCCCACACUAGUAUUGAUCUGCUGACUAGGAAGUGAGAUGUGAGAUAUAGCGUAAAUACAUGAAGAGCAAUUGUGGUAGAUGAGCCCCUCUAAACAUGGAGGACAUAUCAUCAAUGGAGGCAAUGGAGGACACAAUAGCAAAGACAGAAAAGUACCAGACAGUGAAAGAUACCCCACCCAUUGAAGCACAGCUGGGACAAUUCCCUGCAGCCCAUUGGAGAAUGAUCCCCCCCCCCUCCACACAGCGGUCUCUCCACCCAUUGAAGCAGACAGGCUCCCUUUCAACACCUGCACUGCAACCUGAGAAAACCUGAGACAACACUCAUUUUGUAUACUGCUAAAAAUGAACAUCGGGUCAAAGAUCGAAAAAGUGUGAGCCCAUCAUCAAACACAGGUACAGACACUAUAUUAGAAAUUACACAAACUUUACAGCCCUUGUAGCAUAGUUAAAUAAUUUUUAAAAAAUCCCAGAGUACCCCUUUAAAUGUUAGUUCUGGUUAAAAAAAAAAAAUUCUUAUUGAAACAGAUAAUUCACCAGUCAGGCCUGAAGUCACACAAUCUCCUCCACCAGAGGGAGCUCAAGCUCUUCACACAAAGGCCGGUGUUACAUUGCAGCAACUAGAUUAUUGUGUGUCGCCUCUCCUCUUGGCAGCCGGCGUUCCUAUCACAAGGGUGGCAGGGUGGUGAUUUGAUUGAAAAGCCUGCCAAGCUGCGAAGAAUAGCACUAGACGAAACGCACGGGUCAUUUAUCACCACCAAACUUGGGAAAUUUAAUGCACAGGCCCAGAGUAAAGAAAAUCAGCAGAGCAUAGAGCGGGGUCUGAAGGGAACCAUAUUUCUGCACAGUGCGAGUCCAGGUGCAUGGUGGUUAUGCAGUGUCACGGUGCAUUAUGGGAGUGCAGCAUUUCUGAAAAAGGGGAUACUAUGCUAGUGCGAUCAGAUUUCGGAGGCAUCACUAUAGUGUCUUUAUUAGACCAAUGGUAUCUGAGCACAGCAGACAACCUUGGUCAGAUCCGCUUUUUGGAACUUUUUG